rnacentral:rRNA from 1 species
CAGUAGCCGCGGGAAUACAGAGGGUGCGAGCGUUAAUCGGAUUUACUGGGCGUAAAGCGUGCGUAGGCGGCUUCUUAAGUCGGAUGUGAAAUCCCUGAGCUUAACUUAGGAAUUGCAUUCGAUACUGGGAAGCUAGAGUAUGGGAGAGGAUGGUAGAAUUCCAGGUGUAGCGGUGAAAUGCGUAGAGAUCUGGAGGAAUACCGAUGGCGAAGGCAGCCAUCUGGCCUAAUACUGACGCUGAGGUACGAAAGCAUGGGGAGCAAACAGGAUUAGAUACCCGAGUAGUCCCUGUCUCUUAUAA